UCCUCGGUAGUAUAAUUGGUCAGUAUUUCCGCCUGUCACGCACUUGGGGAGACCGGGGUUCGAUUCCCCGCAGGGGAA